rnacentral:rRNA from 1 species
UACGGGGGGGGCAAGCGUUGUUCGGAAUUACUGGGCGUAAAGGGCUUGUAGGUGGCCAACUAAGUCAGACGUGAAAUCCCUCGGCUUAACCGGGGAACUGCGUCUGAUACUGGAUGGCUGGAGUGUGGGAGAGGGAUGCGGAAUUCCAGGUGUAGCGGUGAAAUGCGUAGAUAUCUGGAGGAACACCGGUGGCGAAGGCGGCAUCCUGGGCCAACACUGACGCUCAUGCACGAAAGCGUGGGGAGCAAACAGG